rnacentral:rRNA from 1 species
ACGGGAGGCAGCAGUGGGGAAUAUUGCACAAUGGGCGCAAGCCUGAUGCAGCAACGCCACGUGAGGGAAGACGGUUUUCGGAUUGUAAACAUCUGUCUGUGGUGACGAAGAAGUGACGGUAGCCAAGGAGGAAGCCACGGCUAACUACGUGCCAGCAGCCGCGGUAAUACGUAGGUGGCAAGCGUUAUCCGGAAUUACUGGGUGUAAAGGGAGCGCAGGCGGGAUAGCAAGUCAGCGGUGAAAAUUAUGGGCUUAACCCAUACACUGCCGUUUCAACUGUUAUUCUUGAGUGGAGUAGAGGCCGGCGGAAUUCCGAGUGUAGCGGUGAAAUGCGUAGAUCUUCGGAGGAACACCAGUGGCGAAGGCUGCCUGCUGGGCUCUAACUGACGCUGAGGCUCGAACUUGUGGGGAGCAAACAGGAUUAGAUACCCUGGUA